rnacentral:rRNA from 1 species
UAGGGAAUCUUCGGCAAUGGGGGCAACCCUGACCGAGCAACGCCGCGUGAGUGAAGAAGGUUUUCGGAUCGUAAAGCUCUGUUGUAAGAGAAGAACGUGUGUGAGAGUGGAAAGUUCACACAGUGACGGUAACUUACCAGAAAGGGACGGCUAACUACGUGCCAGCAGCCGCGGUAAUACGUAGGUCCCGAGCGUUGUCCGGAUUUAUUGGGCGUAAAGCGAGCGCAGGCGGUUUAAUAAGUCUGAAGUUAAAGGCAGUGGCUUUACCAUUGUUCGCUUUGGAAACUGUUAAACUUGAGUGCAGAAGGGGAGAGUGGAAUUCCAUGUGUAGCGGUGAAAUGCGUAGAUAUAUGGAGGAACACCGGUGGCGAAAGCGGCUCUCUGGUCUGUAACUGACGCUGAGGCUCGAAAGCGUGGGGAGCAAACAGG